UACGUAGGGCGCAAGCGUUGUCCGGAAUUAUUGGGCGUAAAGAGCUCGUAGGCGGUUUGUUGCGUCUAUCGUGAAAACCUGCAGCUUAACUGUGGGCUUGCGGUGGAUACGGGCAGACUUGAGUUCGGUAGGGGAGACUGGAAUUCCUGGUGUAGCGGUGAAAUGCGCAGAUAUCAGGAGGAACACCGGUGGCGAAGGCGGGUCUCUGGGCCGAAACUGACGCUGAGGAGCGAAAGCGUGGGGAGCAAACAGG
rnacentral:rRNA from 1 species